GGAGAAGUACUCAAGUGGCUAUAAGAGGUGCCCCUGCUAAGGGUAUAGGCCGCUAACGCGGUGCGAGGGUUCAAAUCCCUCCUUCUCCGCCA
rnacentral:tRNA from 1 species